rnacentral:rRNA from 1 species
AACGAACGCUGGCGGCAUGCCUAACACAUGCAAGUCGAACGAGACCUUCGGGUCUAGUGGCGCACGGGUGCGUAACGCGUGUGAACCUGCCCUUAGGUUCGGAAUAACUCCCCGAAAGGGGUGCUAAUACCGGAUAAUGUCUUCGGACCAAAGAUUUAUCGCCUUUGGAUGGGCCCGCGUUGGAUUAGCUAGUUGGUAGGGUAAAAGCCUACCAAGGCGACGAUCCAUAGCUGGUCUGAGAGGAUGAUCAGCCACACUGGGACUGAGACACGGCCCAGACUCCUACCGGAGGCAGCAGUGGGGAAUAUUGGACAAUGGGCGAAAGCCUGAUCCAGCAAUGCCGCGUGAGUGAUGAAGGCCUUAGGGUUGUAAAGCUCUUUUACCCGGGAUGAUAAUGACAGUACCGGGAGAAUAAGCUCCGGCUAACUCCGUG